CAGAAAAAUAAUAUCUAUAUGUUGUAAUUCAAUAGAGAGACUUUAAUGGGGAGCCAAUUAAAAAGGGUUCAAACAACUAAAAAGCCAAAUAGGGGAUGAUGAGGCAACACGAUGAUACUUAUUAGUAGGAAAAUAGUAUCACUCUCAGGCUGGGGAGUGCUAGAGAAGAGGGUUUACCAGGAGUGAGGAGUGGAAGCUGCUUUAAGGGAACUGAAACCACAGUGGAGAUGCCUCCUUGGAGACAGAUAAUGCUGGAGGGGCCUUUGAAAGCUGAGAGUGGAAAGAAAUGCUGUGGCUCUCCUUCAACCUAUAUUUCAAAAUCCUGUCAUUGGGUGAAUUCCUAGAAGGAAGUCAGUUGACAAAGCAGCCUAAGAAACAGAGUUUGCAGGAGUCAGUGCCCUGGGAUGUCAAACAACUUUAGGAGGGGAUCCAUGUGUUUAGGCUUCUAGUUUAAUGAGGGAGUCUUUUUGUCGAAGUGAACUUGUUUUUUUCCUCAGCAAAGCAUCCCUUCCUUAGAAGAACUAUCUUUUUCAUAUUAUGAUUCCCAGUGUGCUAGUAAAAUGUGCGCCUCUCUUCUCUUUCUUAGAGGUCGGCAUUGUGACCCUGGCUAAGUCUGUAAUAGAACCUGUUUUUCCUCAUGCAUAGUGAUUGAUCCAGGGUAGUCGUAUGUCCCAAAUAUUUUCAGUCAGGGUUUUUUUUUUCAUGAGAUAUGUCAUAUGAACAAUAGUGAAUCAGAUGGAUAUAGGUAUAGAGACUAUCUUUCCUUCCAUGUAGAAAAGCAAUGCUGAGAGAUGGAGAAAGAGCCCUUGAAAGACCAUGGAUCCUGCUACAUCUCAAGAAUCUUGCUUUGUCACCCAGGCUGGAGUAUGAUGGUGCAAUCAUGACUCACGGCAGCCUUGAAUACCUGGGUUCAAGUUAUCAUCCUUCCUUAGCCUCCCAAGAGCUGGGACUACAGGUGCCCACCACCAUGCUUGGUUAUUUAUUAUUAUUAUUUUUUUGAAAUGUGGGUGUUCCUAUGUUGCCCAGGCUGGUCUCAAACUUCUGGACUCAAGUGUUCUUUCCACCUCAACCUUCCAAAGUGUUGAGAUUAUAUACAUGAGCCACUGUCUUUGGCCUGUGUGCCAUUUUGAUAGUCAUUUCUUUGAAUAUAUUUAUCCCUUAAUUUGUACUGGAUGCCAAUACAAUGGUAUUAUAAUCAACAUCUGAGUUUAUAGAAAUAUACCUCAUAUUAAUACCAAUUUAAGUUCAACAGUAUAAUAAAAUUUUGUUUCUGUAUAGUAC
rnacentral:lncRNA from 1 species